AACUUAGUUCUGGGCCUUCUUGCUUUGUCCUCAAGGUCUAGCUCAUUGGGCUAGCCUAUGGAUUCACUUGAGUUUGGCUUGAUUAGUUCGCUACCAGGGCUAGCUCGUUGCGGCUUAGCCCAUCAUGCUUUCAGGUCCUAAAUCUAUGACUGUCAGGCCUCACCACUAUGAUACAAUGUUGAAAAUCAUGGGCAUGUGGAUCAAUAAAUAAGCAACCUUUCAUGCUGAGUUCGCUUAAAAUUGGGCACUCUAUCACCAAGAUGGUUUAAACCAUUUUGUUUCAUUUUCCUACAUUUAUAUGCCCUUUAAUUUUCUUGU
rnacentral:misc_RNA from 1 species